GAUGAACGCUAGCGGCAGGCCUAAUACAUGCAAGUCGGACGGGAUUCAGGAGCUUGCUUCUGAUGAGAGUGGCGCACGGGUGCGUAACACGUAUGUAACCUACCUUUAUCAGGGGGAUAGCCUCUCGAAAGAGAGAUUAAGCCCGCAUAAAAUCACAGCACAGCAUUGUGUAAUGAUCAAAUAUUUAUAGGAUAAAGAUGGGCAUGCGGAACAUUAGCUAGAUGGCGGGGUAACGGCCCACCAUGGCGACGAUGUUUAGGGGAUCUGAGAGGAUGGCCCCCCACGCUGGUACUGGGACCCGGACCAGACUCCUACGGGAGGCAGCAGUAAGGAAUAUUGGUCAAUGGGCGGAAGCCUGAACCAGCCAUGCCGCGUGCAGGAAGACGGCCCUACGGGUUGUAAACUGCUUUUAUACGGGAAUAAACCCAGAUACGUGUAUCUGGCUGAAUGUACUGUAAGAAUAAGGAUCGGCUAACUCCGUG
rnacentral:rRNA from 1 species